GGGAGCUUAGCUCAGCGGUAGAGCAAUGCUUUUACACAGCAUCGGUCGUAGGUUCGAUCCCUACAGCUCCCACCA
rnacentral:tRNA from 1 species